CGGGGUGCCCAGGCGCGAAAACUUUACAAUGCGGGAAACCGUGAUAAGGGGACUCCGAGUGCCCGUAAAAUCGGGCUGUCCAUCUGUUUAAAUAACAGGUGAAGAAAGGGCCGGGCAAGACCGGUGCCAGCCGCCGCGGUAAUACCGGCGGCUCGAGUGGUGGCCACUAUUACUGGGCUUAAAGCGUUCGUAGCUGGUCUGUUAAGUCUCUGGGGAAAUCUACUGGCUUAACCAAUAGGCGUUUCAGGGAUACUGGCAGACUAGGGACCGGGAGAGGUGAGGGGUACUCCAGGGGUAGGAGUGAAAUCCUGUAAUCCUUGGGGGACCACCUGUGGCGAAGGCGCCCCACCAGAACGGCUCCCACAGUGAGGGACGAAAGCUGGGGGAGCAAACCGGAUUAGAUACCCGGGUAGUCCCAGCCGUAAACGAUGCGCGUUAGGUGUAUCGGUGACCACUAGUCACCGAGGUGCCGAAGAGAAAUCGUGAAACGUGCCGCCUGGGAAGUACGGUCGCAAGGCUGAAACUUAAAGGAAUUGGCGGGGGAGCAC
rnacentral:rRNA from 1 species